CGCAGCAUAAUUUAUGAAACAUAAAAAAAUCAAAUAACGUAAUACGCAGUUUAAUUAAAAAUGAUUUUUAAUUAUUAAAUUCUCAAAAUUGAUGUAGUAAAUACAUUCCAACUUAUUUAUACUUGCCAUUUGGCAGCAUGAUCAGUAUUGACAUUAGUCACUUUAGAAAAAAAAACUUCUGCAUCUGCCAAAUUUUCGUCAACAAUUAAAUCGUAGUGAUUAUUUUCUCUUUGUUAACAACAUAAUUCUUAUUUCGUGUCUUACUACAGAAGUUUCUAUUUUGUAAUUAUAUAAAUAUAAUCAAUGGAGUCUGCAAAUAACAAAACCCAAAAAAGGGGUUGAAAUUAUACCUAAAUAGAAAAACAAGAACUGCUGGAUAUAGUGAAAAACUCUCGUGAGGAACACAAGCAGUGAGCUGUGGGCGAGUAGCCGGCUAUGAAGUGAGAGGCCGUGGGUUCUCUUGUGUGAUAUAUAUAAUCAAU